ACUACGGGAGGCAGCAGUGGGGGAUAUUGGACAAUGGGGGGAACCCUGAUCCAGCGACGCCGCGUGAGUGAAGAAGUAUUUCGGUAUGUAAAGCUCUGUCAGCAGGGAAGAAAGAAAUGACGGUACCUGACCAAGAAGCCCCGGCUAACUACGUGCCAGCAGCCGCGGUAAUACGUAGGGGGCAAGCGUUAUCCGGAAUUACUGGGUGUAAAGGGAGCGUAGACGGUUAAGUAAGUCUGGAGUGAAAGGCCGGGGCCCAACCCCGGGACUGCUCUGGAAACUAUUGAACUUGAGUGCAGGAGAGGUAAGCGGAAUUCCUAGUGUAGCGGUGAAAUGCGUAGAUAUUAGGAGGAACACCAGUGGCGAAGGCGGCUUACUGGACUGUAACUGACGUUGAGGCUCGAAAGCGUGGGGAGCAAACAGGAUUAGAUACCCCUGUAGUC
rnacentral:rRNA from 1 species